rnacentral:misc_RNA from 1 species
GAAAUGCGAUAAGUAAUGUGAAUUGCAGAAUUCAGUGAAUCAUCGAAUCUUUGAACGCACAUUGCGCCCGCCAGUAUUCUGGCGGGCAUGCCUGUUCGAGCGUCAUUACAACCCUCAGGCCCCCGGGCCUGGCGUUGGGGAUCGGCGGAAGCCCCCUGCGGGCACAACGCCGUCCCCCAAAUACAGUGGCGGUCCCGCCGCAGCUUCCAUUGCGUAGUAGCUAACACCUCGCAACUGUAGAGCGGCGCGGCCACGCCGUAAAACACCCAACUUCUGAAUGUUGACCUCGAAUCAGGUAGGAAUACCCGCUGAACUUAAGC